UAGAGUUUGAUCCUGGCUCAGGACGAAUGCUGGCGGCGUGCUUAACACAUGCAAGUCGAACGGUGAACCGGAGCUUGCUCCGGGGAUCAGUGGCGAACGGGUGAGUAACACGUGGGCAACCUGCCCCUCGCUCUGGGAUAACUUCGGGAAACCGGGAUUAAUACCGGAUAUGACCAUCUUAGGCAUCUUUGGUGGUGGAAAGUUUUUCGGUCAGGGAUGUGCUCGCGGCCUAUCAGCUUGUUGGUGGGGUAAUGGCCUACCAAGGCUUCGACGGGUAGCCGGCCUGAGAGGGUGACCGGCCACACUGGGACUGAGACACGGCCCAGACUCCUACGGGAGGCAGCAGUGGGGAAUAUUGGACAAUGGGCGGAAGCCUGAUCCAGCAACGCCGCGUGAGGGAUGACGGCCUUCGGGUUGUAAACCUCUUUCAGCGCCGACGAAGCGAGAGUGACGGUAGGCGCAGAAGAAGCACCGGCCAACUACGUGCCAGCAGCCGCGGUAAU
rnacentral:rRNA from 1 species